rnacentral:rRNA from 1 species
GACGAACGCUGGCGGCGUGCUUAACACAUGCAAGUCGAACGGAAAGGCCCUGCUUUUGUGGGGUGCUCGAGUGGCGAACGGGUGAGUAACACGUGAGUAACCUGCCCUUGACUUUGGGAUAACUUCAGGGAACUGGGGCUAAUACCGGAUAGGAGCUCCUGCUGCAUGGUGGGGGUUGGAAAGUUUCGGCGGUUGGGGAUGGGCUCGCGGCUUAUCAGCUUGUUGGUGGGGUAGUGGCUUACCAAGGCUUUGACGGGUAGCCGGCCUGAGAGGGUGACCGGCCACGUUGGGACUGAGAUACGGCCCAGACUCCUACGGGAGGCAGCAGUGGGGAAUAUUGCACAAUGGGCGGAAGCCUGAUGCAGCAACGCCGCGUGCGGGAUGACGGCCUUCGGGUUGUAAACCGCUUUCGCCUGUGACGAAGCGUGAGUGACGGUAAUGGGUAAAGAAGCACCGGCUAACUACGUG